ACGAACGCUGGCGGCGCGCCUCACACAUGCAAGUCGAACGAGCGAGAGAGAGCUUGCUUUCUUGAGCGAGUGGCGAACGGGUGAGUAACGCGUGAGGAACCUGCCUCAAAGAGGGGGACAACAGUUGGAAACGACUGCUAAUACCGCAUAAGCCCACGACCCGGCAUCGGGUUGAGGGAAAAGGAGCAAUCCGCUUUGAGAUGGCCUCGCGUCCGAUUAGCUAGUUGGUGAGGUAACGGCCCACCAAGGCGACGAUCGGUAGCCGGACUGAGAGGUUGAACGGCCACAUUGGGACUGAGACACGGCCCAGACUCCUACGGGAGGCAGCAGUGGGGAAUAUUGCACAAUGGGGGAAACCCUGAUGCAGCGACGCCGCGUGGAGGAAGAAGGUCUUCGGAUUGUAAACUCCUGUUGUUGAGGAAGAUAAUGACGGUACUCAACAAGGAAGUGACGGCUAACUACGUG
rnacentral:rRNA from 1 species